rnacentral:rRNA from 1 species
UACGUAGGGUGCGAGCGUUGUCCGGAAUUAUUGGGCGUAAAGAGCUCGUAGGCGGUUUGUCGCGUCGACUGUGAAAACCCGAGGCUUAACCUCGGGCCUGCAGUCGAUACGGGCAGACUAGAGUUCGGUAGGGGAGACUGGAAUUCCUGGUGUAGUGGUGAAAUGCGCAGAUAUCAGGAGGAACACCGGUGGCGAAGGCGGGUCUCUGGGCCGAUACUGACGCUGAGGAGCGAAAGCGUGGGGAGCGAACAGG